AUACUUUGGUUUCUCUUCAAUUCACGAUUAUAUUUUACGCCUUUUACUAAAGAUAUCCAUGGAGAGGAACAUAAAUGAGUCUACAAACUUAUUUUUAAAGUAGGUGAAUGAAAACGUGG